GGGGAAUAUUGGGCAAUGGGCGAAAGCCUGACCCAGCGACGCCGCGUGGGUGAUGUAGGCCUUCGGGUUGUAAAGCCCUUUCGUGCGGAACGAACAGUCUCGCGACUAAUACUCGCGGGAUUUGACGGUACCGCAGGAAGAAGCACCGGCUAACUCCGUGCCAGCAGCCGCGGUAAUACGGAGGGUGCAAGCGUUGUUCGGAAUUACUGGGCGUAAAGGGCGCGCAGGCGGUUGUGCAAGUCAGUUGUGAAAUCCCCCGGCUUAACCGGGAAACUGCAUCUGAAACUGCAUGACUAGAGUACAGAAGAGGGAAACGGAAUUCCCGGUGUAGAGGUGAAAUUCGUAGAUAUCGGGAGGAACACCAGUGGCGAAGGCGGUUUCCUGGUCUGAUACUGACGCUGAGGCGCGAAAGCGUGGGGAGCAAACAG
rnacentral:rRNA from 1 species